rnacentral:rRNA from 1 species
GGAUUAGAUACCCUGGUAGUCCACGCCCUAAACGAUGACUGCUAAACGUUGGAGGUGAAUAACCUUCAGUGUUGAAGCUAACGCGUUAAGCAGUCCGCCUGAAGAUUACGGUCGCAAGACUAAAACUCAAAGGAAUUGACGGGGACCCGCACAAGCGGUGGAACAUGUGGUUUAAUUCGAAGCAACGCGAAGAACCUUACCUACUCUUGACAUCCUGAUCGCGGUUUUCCGAGAGGAAUUCCUUCAGUUCGGCUGGAUCAGUGACAGGUGCUGCAUGGCUGUCGUCAGCUCGUGCCG